CCUACGGGAGGCAGCAGGGAGGAAUAGUGGUCAAUGGGCGCGAGCCUGAACCAGCCAAGUAGCGUGAAGGAUGACUGCCCUACGGGUUGUAAACUUCUUUUAUAAAGGAAUAAAGUGAGGCACGUGUGCCUUUUUGUAUGUACUUUAUGAAUAAGGAUCGGCUAACUCCGUGCCAGCAGCCGCGGUAAUACGGAGGAUCCGAGCGUUAUCCGGAUUUAUUGGGUUUAAAGGGAGCGUAGAGGGGUUGUUAAGUCAGUUGUGAAAGUUUGCGGCUCAACCGUAAAAUUGCAAUUGAUACUGGCAGUCUUGAGUACAGUUGUGGUCGGCGGAAUUCGUGUUGUAGCUGUGAACUGCU
rnacentral:rRNA from 1 species